rnacentral:rRNA from 1 species
GAUGAACGCUGGCGGCGUGCAUAACACAUUCAAGUCGAACGGAGUUAUUUCCUUCGGGAGAUAACUUAGUGGCGGACGGGUGAGUAACGCGUGAGCAACCUGCCUUGCAUUGGGGGAUAACGACCGGAAACAGUCGCUAAUACCGCAUAAUGUAUCUGAUUCGCAUGUUUUGGAUACCAAAGAUUUAUCGAUGCAAGAUGGGCUCGCGUCCGAUUAGGCAGUUGGUGGGGUAACGGCCCACCAAACCGACGAUCGGUAGCCGAACUGAGAGGUUGAACGGCCACAUUGGAACUGAGAUACGGUCCAG